rfam:Camelus ferus unplaced genomic scaffold scaffold2735, whole genome shotgun sequence.
AGGGUGAUAGCUCAGUGAUAGAGCAUAUGCUUAGCAUGCACAGGGUCCUGGGUUCAAUCUCCAGUACCUCCA